AAGUCGUAACAAGGUUUCCGUAGGUGAACCUGCGGAAGGAUCAUUAACACGUAUCCACGUUUAUCACCCGAGAAAUUCUGAGGAUAGCUUCUUUGCGGCCCCCUUCACUUUAUUGUGUCUGUGUGGCCCUGAAGUCGCUUCCUCAGUACACGUAAGUGUACACAACCCGCUUUGGUCUGUCUACCUCCUCGGAGGGAUUCAGACCUCUGUGGGUAACUGUAAACCCCUUUUUUCUAAACUAAAAGCCGUCUCUUUGUGGACCGCUUUUAACCGAAUGCUGUACAACUCUUAGCAACGGAUAUCUUGGUUCUG
rnacentral:misc_RNA from 1 species